AUAUUGGUCCAGACCUACAGUAACAUCCCCACAGUCUACAUCUACCCCUAAUAUUGGUCCAGGUCUACAGUAACAUCCCCACAGUCUACAUCUACCCCUAAUAUUGGUCCAGGUCUACAGUAACAUCCCCACAGUCUACAUCUACCCC